AUUAGUUGUUUUAGCAAAGAAUUAGUAGUUUCCCAUGCUAUCAAAUAUCAGAAUUAACCUCCUUCCCCCACCCUCACCACAUUCAGAAAUAUGACCUUUAUGGACAUCCUUUGGGAUUCUGGGGAUUUUGCCAUACAAUGAUUAAUGCACUCUGAAAGCCUUUGUGAGUUGGAUUUUUCAUUUUUAGAUAUUUUCAACAGAAACCUGAAAUCAGUCUUCAUGCAGUAAGGUUUAUUUAAUCAGAACAAGAGAAAAUGUUUACUGUAUUGAAAAGAAACAUCAUAAGUUGCAUAGAUGGGAAUAUGCAGACAAAGCAACAUGCCACCAAGUCCAUCACAAAAAUCAACAAACAAAAAUUGAUCAUUGCACGUAGCAAAUAAAACAGUGUUAGUCUGUAUAGCAAAUACCUAAAAUGCAAAACAAAUUUGCUUUUUAUGAGGUAAAUUUUCAACAGGAAAACCUCUUUUGGGGAGCUAAUUGCUCCCCAAAAAAGGAAAGGUAGGUCUCAGCCCAGCUAAAUUGAGGUUUACUGUAUGUUGAAUAUAAUUGUUGAGCAACACUACACAUUUAAAUCAUUUAAAUUUCCCUCUUUUAGUAUUUUCAUUGCAUUUUUAUUUUUAUCUAUUUCUUAUACCAUAAAAUAUUUAUCACAGAUACAUAAAUAAUCUUAGAGGUCAAACAUGGUAACCUCUAAAAUUAAAUAUAGCAUCUUCUGACAUGGGGCCUUCCAAUUUAGGAGGUGAUGGCCCUGAGACAAUAGGACAAAUACUGAGGAAAGGUGUCUUAGUUUUUUAUUACUAUUUUUGGCUCUGAUAAGGCAAACUGAGUAAAAUUUUAUAUUUCUUGUCCCAAUAAUACUUUGUAUUGAAAAUGUGCCCAUUACUUGAAAAAGUUGGGAAUCCAUGCACUGAUGAAAUUGAUACACCUUGGCUGCUACAUAAACAGGCUUGGCAGAAUUCAAUUUUUUAUUUAUUUUUUUGUAAUUGAUGGAUAAUAUUGAUAUUUUUAUCAUCAAUUUAACUGUUCACAGUUGUGCAAAAUCUGGGGUGGGGGUGGGGGUCAAACAAUUGUUUAAUGACAGUAGACAUUGAGAUUCAAAAACCUAAUGCUUUGUAAUAGUUAAAACAUAAGUUAUCAUCAUCCCAUGUCAAAACAUACAAAGUAAAUAGCCUUAAGUCAAACACUAAGAAGUUCUCAAACAGCAUUUUUCUUACUUUGCCUGUCUGUGAAUUUCAGUUAUUAUUGAUGGAAAUAUUUUUUGUCAGUUUGUGUGUAUAGUAAAAUCAAUGGUUACCGACAUUUAUGGAUAAAAUGUUUACAUAAACCCUAUCAGGCUUCUUAGAAGAGCUCAUUAAUAGUUACAGGAGAAAAUUCUGUGCUGGUUUAUACAGGUGCCAUCCCAUUGUCUGAAGUGGAAUUACAUAGGGUGUAUAUUAGCCCAGAAUUUGGCCUGAAAUGUGAGGCAUCUAAGUACAAUAUUUGCAUAAAGAUAAAGUUAAAUUAAUUAGGAUAAAUUAUAUUUGUCUGAUUCUUUUGUUGAAAACUGUCUUGAUAUGAAAUCUAUUAUGAAGGCCCACUUUUCAUAUUUGUCUACUGAAACUUUAUCAGUUGUAUCUUCAAACGAGUCAUGCAAAUUCCUAUUCUUCCUGGAGUCUACUUUUAUGGAAAGAUUUAACUCAUUUUCAUACAAAUGAAUAUAUUGGGGUAGGGAAUUGAAAGGGGAAAUAAACUAUGAAUAGAAAUCAUGUUAACAGUCUUUCAAUUUGCACCAAUUUUGGAGUUUCUGAUAGGAUGUAAACCAUCAUGUUUCCCAAUCUGCCAACACCAAGGGGGACAAACUGCCCAUGAUUUGUAAAGAUUAAUACAAUUCUUGAGAUUGCAGGCAGACUGUUAUAUGAAUAUGAAUAUGAAUUUGACACAUGUGUAACAAUCCCCCCCUCACCCAUAUAGGCCAAAAAUGGCCGUUGAUUUUGCCAGCAAAUAGUUCUAUAAAUCAGACCAGUAUGCAUGCCAAACCUAACAUGUAAGUUAGAGCUAUCCAAAUGCAGAAAAAUAAUCAAACAUAAUUACCCAUCUGUUAAGUUUUUCCAUUGUUAACUCUGUAGUGCAACCUAAUUGAAAUUUCAGUUGGUUGGUCUUAGAAAGUUUUUUGGGAUAAGCCAAGUUCCACAAUUUAUUUGUGAUUUUUUUCAUCAGUAUUUCAGCAUGAGAGAGACCAGAUUCCACACUGGCUUGCACCCUGUGCUAGGUUGUAUGAGGUGUAAAUCUUGGCAGAAUUUGCCUUCCUAAUCCCUCCACCCUCCCUUUUUGGCGCAGUACCACUGACUGUAAUGAAAUCAGACCACUGACAUACUUCUUUCAUUACUAACACGAACAUAGUUGCUAUUGACAUAGUAAUAGUAUAGUCAUUUAUUCCAAAUAUAUAUUUUUUUUGCAGUUCACAUAUGCAGGACUAUUCCUUCAUUUAAAAUGUUAAAAAUAAUAAUAAUUUAUCUGCAUUGGACUGAGUACUGCUUCCAUGCAAUUAUUAAGUACUUUUAACUACCUUUAACUACUGCACAAUCAAGGGCUCAAUCCUGCUGUUACGGAAGUCAAUGAAAGUUUUGUUGUUAGACUUCAGUGGGAACACUUUUAGGCCCAUUUUUUUUAACCUUUUGGUCUUUGAUCAAAGUGAAGAUGUAUUAUUUAUUUGGUUAAACCUACAGUAAAUUAAAAUAGUGACUAUUGAAGGCUUGUUAAGUAGCACAGAUUCAUCCUUUGCAUAACUCCCUUGAAGUCUGUUCACUGCUCUAGGAGUUUCUGUAUGUACUUUUUCCUAUUACAUGUGUUUUACAGAAUGUAUAAUUUCAAACAUCUUAGAGGCUCAAUUUUGAGUAUUUACUCUGCUUAAUACAGGUGGCUUUUUCUGGAUUUACACUUAUGAUGUGCUAGUACCAGGUUAAGGAAUCUUUCUCUGCACUCUGUAAUAUUAACACUAAUAAUACAUUAAAACAGGGUUGAAAAGACAGAAGAAUGUACAUAGUUUUCUUCUGUGGAUUUUGGAGACAUUUCAUGCACAUGGCAUAGUUUGAAAGUAACUUUUAAGUUUAAAGGAUCAGUCCUUAGCAUGUGUUACUUUAAUUCAUUUAUUAAUUCCAUUCAUUGUGAAGUAAAAAAGGACCCCUUUUUACUUCUUUAUGAGGUAUAAAGGGCAGAAACUUUGGGGUUUUCUUCUUCUCCUUCCUCUCCCCCUCUCCCCCCUUUAACGUUAGAAUUGCAGGUCAUGGCUUACUUUUUUCCUGCACAACAUAGAUAAUGAGGUUUCACUGCUAACUGAAAAGGGAAGGGAUUUUUAUUCAAAAUGUUUUUUAAAAACCCUUUUUGUUUUGUCAUUUGCUUUUGUUAAAAUCUGUUUAACUCAUAUGCCUAACAGUUGGAAGAAAAUAUCUUUGUCAAAGAUUCAACACUCUGUUAAGGGUUAGGAAGGCUCCCAGUCCACAUGUCUGGGUCCUCCAAGAAGACCUGCAGCAAAACCAGAAAAGACAAGACUUGUUGUUUUGAAGGGUUGAUCAUAAGGCAGAACUUGAAGAUAGAAUGAUCAGUCUAAUUAAUCAUCAAGGGAUUUAAUGGAAGCAAAGAACAUGAUCAGUAAAUUAAAGCACUUGACACACUCCAAAGGGACACAAACAAUUGCUGUUGCAUGAAAAAUACAUUUGGAUCUACUGAUGAAUGAAAAUCUUGCACCACACAAAGCAAAAGUACAAAAGAGAUUUCAUGAGGAGAUUACUACGCAUAUUGGCCAACCUCCUUCAUCCGAAAUAUGCAGGAAAGAAAUGGUCAGUUGAACAAGAAAAAAUUACAAUCCAAUGGUUGCUCAUCAAAAAUCCCGACUAGCAUAUUUACUUGCAUUUAAAGAAAAAGAAGCUCAGUAUCCAAAAUCAAUGUUUUCAUCCACUAUCAAGGAAGAUUUCCCCUGUAACACGGUGGAAGAACCUGAAGAAUACUGAUACUUCAUAGAACUGGUAGUGCAAUUGCAUCAGUGUCCAGCAAGCAUAGAACAAUUUUUUUCAAAGUUUGGACAUAUCCAUUCAAAACUGAGGAAUAGGCUCAGAAUAAAAUACUAUCAAAGUUGGUAUUCCGCUCCAGGAUGCUGCAUGGCUAAAUGGACCUGAACUGGUAGUCUGUAACUCUGUAUGCAUGCUUCUGAUUGCUCAGUGCCUCAAACCUGCAACUCUGCAUUAUCAUUGUUUUCAUAUAAUUGAAUGCUUGAAUUUUGUUUAUAUAAUACUGAAAACUGAAAUGAGUCAUGACAUGUAUAA